rnacentral:rRNA from 1 species
UGGAGCAUGUGGUUUAAUUCGAUGCAACGCGAAGAACCUUACCUGGGCUUGACAUCCCGGGAAUCCCUUGGAAACAAGGGAGUGCCCUUCGGGGAACCUGGAGACAGGUGCUGCAUGGCUGUCGUCAGCUCGUGUCGUGAGAUGUAGGGUUAAGUCCCGCAACGAGCGCAACCCUUGUCUUUAAUUGCCAUCAUUGAGUUGGGCACUUUAAAGAGACUGCCGGUGUUAAACCGGAGGAAGGUGGGGAUGACGUCAAGUCAGCAUGACCUUUAUAUCCAGGGCUACACACACGCUACAAUGGUCUGUACAAUGGGUAGCCAAGCCGCGAGGCGGAGCCAAUCCUGAAAGCAGGCCUCAGUUCAGAUUGCAGUCUGCAACUCGACUGCAUGAAGCCGGAGUUGCUAGUAACCGCAGGUCAGCAAUACUGCGGUGAAUACGUUCCCGGGUCUU